rnacentral:rRNA from 1 species
GACGAACGCUGGCGGCGUGCUUAACACAUGCAAGUCGAACGGAAAGGCCCUGCUUUUGUGGGGUGCUCGAGUGGCGAACGGGUGAGUAACACGUGAGUAACCUGCCCUUGACUUUGGGAUAACUUCAGGAAACUGGGGCUAAUACCGGAUAGGAGCUCCUGCUGCAUGGUGGGGGUUGGAAAGUUUCGGCGGUUGGGGAUGGACUCGCGGCUUAUCAGCUUGUUGGUGGGGUAGUGGCUUACCAAGGCUUUGACGGGUAGCCGGCCUGAGAGGGUGACCGGCCACAUUGGGACUGAGAUACGGCCCAGACUCCUCCGGGAGGCAGCAGUGGGGAAUAUUGCACAAUGGGCGGAAGCCUGAUGCAGCAACGCCGCGUGCGGGAUGACGGCCUUCGGGUGGUAAACCGCUUUCGCCUGUGACGAAGCGUGAGUGACGGUAAUGGGUAAAGAAGCACCGGCUAACUACGU